rnacentral:rRNA from 1 species
AGAGUUUGAUCCUGGCUCAGAAUGAACGCUGGCGGCGUGCUUAACACAUGCAAGUCGAACGAGAAAGCCGAAAGCUUGCUUUUGGCGAGUAAAGUGGCGCACGGGUGAGUAACGCGUGGGUAAUCUACCUUUGAAUCUGGGAUAACACUUCGAAAGGGGUGCUAAUACCGGAUAAUAUCUUUUUCAUUGCGGUGGAGAAGAUCAAAGAUGGCCUCUUCUCGAAAGCUAUUGUUUGAAGAUGAGCCCGCGUACCAUUAGCUUGUUGGUGGGGUAAUGGCCUACCAAGGCGACGAUGGUUAGCUGGUCUGAGAGGAUGAUCAGCCACACUGGAACUGGAACACGGUCCAGACUCCUACGGGAGGCAGCAGUGAGGAAUUUUGCGCAAUGGGGGAAACCCUGACGCAGCAACGCCGCGUGAGUGAUGAAGGCUUUCGGGUCGUAAAGCUCUGUCAAGUGGGAAGAAGUUGUGUAUGGCUAAUAUCUGUGCACAUUGACGGUACCACUGAAGGAAGCACCGGCUAACUCCGUGCCAGCCGCCGCGGU